AUUUAUGAUUCCUAAUAGUGGUCAGUUUAAAAAAAAAAAGGACGUUCUGCAAUUUACACGGCAUUUAACAUUCCUGUGCCACAUAGUACAAUUGCAUUUUGUACUGGCCCUGCUGGUGACAUCGCUACUUAAUAAAAAUAAUGCAUGGCCAGAACUUAGUAAUGUGUGGGAAUUAUAUUAUUAAAUCGUAAACAUGAUGUAGUAAAGAAAGGGAAUGAGAUAAUUAUCUCGUAGCCAUGACUUAGUAAAGUAAGGGAGGGAGAUAAUUAAGACGUAGCCAUGAAUAUGUGAGGGAAUGAGAUAAUUAAGUUGCAGCCUUGACUUAGUAAAGUAAGGGAAUGAGUUCAAUAAAUCAUGGCCACUACUACAAAUGCAGGGGAAUGAGAUAAUCAAGUCAAAGCCAUGAGUUAGUAAAGUAAGGGGAUGAGUUCAAUAAAUCAUGGCCACUACUACAAAUGCAGGGGAAUGAGAUAAUCAAGUCAAAGCCAUGAGUUAGUAAAGUAAGCGGAUGAGAUAAUUAUCUCGUAGCCAUGACUUAGUAAAGUAAGGGAAUGAGAUAAUUAUCUCAUAGUCAUGACUUAGUAAAGUAAGGGAACAAGAUAAUUAUCUCGUAGCCAUGACUUAGUAAAGUAAGGGAAUGAGAUAAUUAUGUCGUAGCCAUGACUUAGUAAAGUGUGUAGGGGUAUAAGAUAAAUAAAUCAUGGUCACUACUUACUUAUGAAAAGGAACGAGAAAAUUAAGUUAUAGCCAUGACUUAAUAACGUUAGGGAACAAGAUUCUAAUGUGUGGCCACAAGUUAAUAACGCAAGGGACCGAGAUAAUUAAAUGCAGGGAUGAUCAUUGUGUUGUGCGCUCAAACUGGUAUGCAUGUACUGAAUAUACAGGGUUUUACAUUAACCACCAAACUCUUAACUACUGUUAUCUACUGUUACAUGCAGUAAUUAAUAAGAAAAUGUGCAUGUAAACAUCUCUAGUGUCUACACUACUAAACCAGACAAGUGGCAGCUUUUUUCCCCUCCAAGCAUGCAGCAGUUAUUGUAAAACCCUGUAUAUACAUGACUGUGUCCAGCAUAAUGAUCAUACAUUAUUAAGAUGUGGCCGUAAGUUAUGUUUAGUUGUGGCCACAACCUAAUGAUCGUGGCUAUGCAUUGUUUUUAUUAAGUAAGGAUGUCACAAGGGAGGGGCUCUGUAAUUUUGAAGUAAAUUUUUAUUGGCCUGGAACAUUGAACCUUGAGGAAUACCUACAAUAAUGAUUAAAGCCUUGAUUUCAUUUUCUUCAUAGUACUGUGCAUGUAGAAAUUCCACACUUUCAAAACGACGGACAGUGCGUGUCUAUCUAGGCACAAUUGAUGUAAUUGUACCUUUUAAGUGCUCAUGAUCUAAUUGAAACGUACCGUUUUAUUUUACUUUAUUUUAUUUACCCAGAAAGGCCACUAUCACUAUCGUUGGAACCAUGGUCCUGACUGGUGUACUUUUCUUUUUCUGAGCACAUAUGCUGAGGACUACAUGGCUAAAUUUAUUUGUUAGUGUUGAACACUUUGAUUUUGGGAUUUAAUGUUUACAAUUAAUGUAAAAAAAAAAAUUCACAAAUAUAGCUUAAAAUUGCAUUUUGAGGACAAAUUUAAUUGGCCCCAGUGGUGAACCCUGAGGUAUACCUAAGAAAAUUAUUCUUUUGUUUCUGUUUUUCUUCUUGGUACUGUGUGUGUAGAAAAUGUAUUGUUAAUUCUGACGAUAAAAAAAAAUGUAGAGGCCAACCAAACAUCUGUAAUUGUCUUAUUCCUGAAAUGAUUUUUAUUUCUACGACAUUUAAGUGGUCACAAAUAGUCACUUAUAAGAAACCGCUCCAAGGCUGAAAUCUCUGCAGACAAACAACCAAUAAUUUUUCUUUAACACCAUUCUCACGAUUGCCAUUGAAAUUAUUAUAUAUUUAUUUGAUUAAUUUUGUUUGCAUGGCCAAUUCAAGAUGUGCAGAUUUCUGUUAUAAAUACUGACAUUUGAAACACUGAUGUUGAUACACAGGUGCUGCCAUUUUGCUUUCGCUCUUUGCUGAAAAAGAAAAACACAACAAUGUGAAAAUUAUCACACUGUGACGGGUUCUGAGAGGUCUCCAGGCCAUCAAUAAAACAUUUUUACAACAGGGUGCACACACACACACACACACACACACACACAUACACACACACACACACACACACACACACACAAAUACACCACAUAUAGUAGCGUUUGUAUUUCAAUAGUAACUAGUUGUAAACUGUUCUGUUGUGUAUUCACUUUGAUUCGAUAGACUAGGAUGAGACGAAUGUGGUGCGCUGUGAUGUACUUUUUUUACAAUCUAUUUUCCAAAACACAACCUGUGUAUGUGUAUACAUAUAUACAUACAACCCCAGUUCCAAAAAAGCUGGGACGCUGUGUAAAAUGUAAAUUAAAAACGGAACGCAACGAUUUGCAAAUCUCAUAAACCCAUGUGUUAUUCACAAGAGCAUAGAAAACAUAUCAAAUGUGUAAACUGAGGAAAUGUAGCAUUUUAAGAAAAAAAAUAAGGUAAUUUUGAAUUUCAUGGCCGCAACACAUCUGUUAAAGGCUGGAAAAGUAAGUGUUAGUAAAAAGAAACAGCUGGAGAAACAUUUUGCAACUAAUUAGGUUAAUUGGGAGCAGGUGAUAAAGGUAUAAAAGGUAUCAAAAGAGUAUCUUAGAGAGGCAGAGUCUCUCAGAAGUAAAGAUGGGAUGGAAUCUGGAUGGAAGCAAUACAGUAUGUUGCUCUAAAACCUGUAUAUACCUUUCAGCAUUGCUGGUGCCUUUCCAGAUGUGCAAGCUGCCCAUUCCAUAGGCGCUAAUGCACUCCCAUACCAUCAGAGACGCAGGCUUUUGAACUGAGCGCUGAUUAAAAAGCCGGAUGGUCCCUCUCCUUUUUAGUCCUCUUUAGUUUAGUGGACGCAGUGUCCAUGGUUUCCAAAAAGAAAUUCAGAUUUCGAUUCAUCUGACCACAGAACAGUUUUCCACUUUGCCUCGGUCCAUUUUAAAUGAGCUUUGGCCCAGAGAAAACGGCAGUGUUUCUGGAUCAUGUUCACGUAUGGCUUCUUCUCUACAUGAUAGAGCUUUAUCCAGCAUUUGUGGAUGGCAUGGCGAACUGUGUUCACAGACAGUGAGGUCUGGAGGUGUUUCUGAGCCCAUGCAGUGAUUUCCAUUACAGAAUCAUGCAUGUUUUUAAUGCAGUGCUGCCUGAGGGCCCAAAGAUCACCGACAUGCGAUAUUGAUUUUCACCCUCGUCCCUCGCUCACAGACAUAUCUCCAGACUCUCGGAAUAUGUGAUGAUAUUAUGUACUACAGCCAAUGAGAGAUUCAUAGUCUUCACAAUUUUACGUUGAGGAACAUUAUUCUGAAAUUGUUCCACAAUCUGCAGUUUUUCGCAGACUGGUGAACCUCUGCCCAUCUUUACUUCUGAAAGACUCUGUCUCUCUAUGAUCCUCUUUUUAUACCCAAUCAUCUUACUGACCUGUUCCCAGUUAACCUCCAGCUGUUUCUAUUUACUAACACUUACUUUAACAGCCUUUUGUUGACCCCCACAACUAUUUUGAGCAAUGAAACUCAAAAGUACCAUAUUUUUUUCUUAAAAUGAUACAUUCCCUCAGUUUAAACAUUUGAUAUGUUUUCCCAUGUUCUGUUGUGAAUAACAUACGGGUUUAUGAGAUUUGCAAAUCAUUGCAUUCUGUUUUUAUUUACAUUUUACACAGCAUCACAAUUUUUUUUGGAAUUGGGAUUGUAUGUAUGUAUAUAUACAUACACACACACAUCUGGGUCAGAAACAGGGUUGAUCUUGGAUUUUUUUCCCAAAAUCUUCCAAAUCUCUUCUAAAUGGUGCCACAAAUCUGAUUCAUUCUGUGCUGACGAUGUGAAUCUGAAGAUUGAUUAAGUUUCAUUCAUAACAUCCUGUAAAAGUUAAGAGAUACAGUAUGUGUCGUGUGUCUGAAAACCCUGACACAAAUUUCUCCAAACAAACCUGAGAUUUAGUUCUUGGCUUUGCCACCUACCACAGUGUGUACAUUGGUGUUCAUUGGACAACGUUUGGCCUGUAUUUCUGUCCUCAGAAUAUGGGAAUUUUUACUCAAAAUGUCUUCACAAAUGAAUGACGGUGUCGUGGUUAACAUUGAAUGUCAUCUGAUGUGUGUGUGUUUUUAUUAUUAAUUAAUUACAUUAUUAAUUACAUUUAAACUCUAUGCUGCUUUAUAUUCAUUUCAAAGAAACGAGCAUCUGUUGCUUUUUCAGGCAUGAAUGAAAUAAAAAUUAGUUGUAAUCAUGCGGAAUUAAGCUGGUAUUAUUAAAAACACACAGGAACAAUUGCUUAAUUGUUUCUUCAAGUGCUUACUCAUGUUAUCUGGAAGGUACCAUUUGUUUUGGGUUCUUUUCUUUACCUGGAAAGGCCAUAGUUCCCUUCUCGACUGCUGGAGAAUCCAUGGUCCUGACCGAUUUACCUUUAAUAACACGAUUCCUUUUUUUCUCUUAUUCUUUUUCUGAGAGAGUACACUGAGGACUUGUUAGUGCUGUACUGUAGAGUUUGAUGCCGCAAUGCGAUUGGUACGAUUUUGGCUAAAUACUACAGCUAAACAAAGUGUCUUCUAAAUUCUAAAUGAUAAAUAAUACGUUUUACAGUCAAUUAUAAUAUACCUACAGAGGAUUUGCACCAUUACACAUAGAUUACAGAAAUACAUCUCAUGUCAUUACAUAAAAAGUGAGUCAGGUCAAUCGAUUCAGCUCACCAAUAAGAGUCGACUCCUUCAGCUCUUAAAUGACUCAUUGCUCAUUUGACCUGCGAUUGUUCCGUGAUAGUUCUUACACCGGCUGUGGCUGUGCUGAGACAUUCAAAGGUUUUAAAAUCUGACCGCCUCUAGUAAUACACCUGAAAAUAUUACACGGCAUUGCAAGAGUCUACAAAAAAAGUCUCAUAUACUGUAUGCGAGUCGACCCUCAACGUUCACGUAAAAGAGUCGACUCAAAGAGCCAACUCUCAUAAAUGACACGUCACUAAAUUACUCCAGUGCAUCAUGUUAAAUUAUGAAUUUGUAUAAGUACAGUAAUGUAUCUUGACGUUUAAAUGUCACCACAGUUUUAUUUAUUUUGUUUGAAAGUACUGUUGUAAUUUUGAGGUCAAAAACAAACAGCAAUACAGACAGCACUAAUCAGUGGUACAUAAUUCCAUUGUACAUUAUUAUUUAUUUAUUUAUUUGCUUAUCUAUUUAUUUAUUUAUUUAUUUAUUUAUUUAAAUCUUCAACCAUCACGAUCUCACAAUAAAACACCUAUGAGUACAGACCGGAGGUGGGGACUCUUCUAAACGUAGGUGUGCGGUUGUACUGUGAACGUAAGAACGUAAAAUUGAACUGAUUUCUUGGGAAAAUGCUCUCUCUCUCUCACUCACACACACACACACACUCUUUCUGUGCUGUCAGUGAGCCAUUCUGUUCAAGAUUGUAAGAAUUGUGAGAAUCCGACGGCAUUUUUCAUUACCUUGUUAAGAUCAAAUUAAUAUACAGACACAUAAGGGGACAAUUUAAAAAAAAAAAAAAAAGUCAAGGUACUGAAAAAAACCAGCAUCACGAACCGCUGUUGGCACUCGACAUUUUAAAGGUACUCUGUGUAUAAAUAAAUAUAUGUGUGUGGUUGAAAAUAAACACUUCCUUUGACCCUGGAAUUGAGGAUUUCCUUUCUUGAGUUUGUGUCCACCCUGAAUGACUUGCAUAUGAAAUAUUAUAUCAUUGAAUGGCAUCCAAUAUUUGUUUUGCAUUUGUUAAUGUUUUCCUACAUUACCCACAAUGCUGUACUGAGAGUGGUGCAGUGGGAUUUGGCCCUCGCUUUGCCUAAAGAGAGUGAUGCAGCAGUGCUUUAGUCCUUUAGUCUGUCCAGUUUUUCUCACCUCCUCAUUUGUACACUCAAACAGAUUCAACUCCUGUUCCAAUUUGCAUGCUAAUACCAUUAUAUCAAAUACAAUGCCACUAAUGAAGGUUUGGUUAUGAAUAAUAUCUGCUCUUUUUAUCAGCACCUAAAAUAGAAUAAAAAAAAAACCCCAAAAUCCAUUUAUUCAUACCAAUUUGACCUUUUAGUUAUUAUUCCUUGGUGUUCACUUUUGUUUCCCCUCCAUGCUAUGAUAAUGAGGAUGUUUUAAAUGUAAAUUGGUCUUGUUCUUUUGGUUUAAUUAGCUCUUGGGAUAAAUCGAGGGGAAAUGAUUCAGACCAGCUGUUACUCUUGAAGUGAACUCAAAAAUAUGGUGCUGUAAUUACAGCAUCAUCUAAAUGCCUGUUAGACUAAUGCUGCCUUUCUGCUCCCUGUAUUAUUCAUCAUACAGAAACUCACCACAAACUCGCUGCAUGGCUUCUGUUCACGAAAUGUACUUAUCGGUUUAAUCAAAAACGGAUUUGUAUGCCCACAAAUAAUAGUCCCAGAAAAUAUAACGUAUGAUUUAAAACUACAUAUAUUUAAAUGGCAAUAUAAUUCACAGUCAGAGCUGUGUUGAGGUGGUUCGGAUCAGAAUUGGUUGGAAAUUUGAACGCACGUGUCAUACGCCAGCUCAGAUACAUCAAACGGCAUCACAACCCAACUUCAGGCAUGAAAGAAGUCUGGCUACACAGUGACUGGCAGGAGCCACAGCCAAUCAGGAGAGAGACAGUGACAGUGACACUUUCUUGCUGAACAGGUAAUGGAUUUAUUUCUUCUCUAAUUUGGUGGAGAGUGAGCAAAUUAUAGAUGACAUUCAGCUGACUUAUCCUUAUUGUGGAGUUUGUAUUAUUGCUUAGUUUAGCUAGUUAAAUAUCAUGCUAGUACUACAUGGGCUUUUGACAGACUCGAGCAUGAAAUACAGAAAAAGCACAGAUCAGGUAGUUAAAAAAAAACACAAAUCAGCUACAACCAAGAUUUAUAAUUUUGGUCAGUAUAGUAUAUUUUUGCUAGCUAGGUUGGGGUUGUGUGGUGUUUUCAUGAGCACUCCUUCUUGAUCAGGCAUUCGCUGUUUGGGCUAACCAGUUGAUGGCAUCUAAAAAACAAGUCCUUAUUAAGUGGUUUAUGCAAUUUGUGUAAUUACUACUGUAUUUAGGUAUACUAUACUACUAUGUGUGCCUUAUGCACUUUGGCACAAAUGGAAGAACACAGCAUAACUGAUAUUAUGUCAAAUGUUUGUCCAUAAGACAGUUGCAAUAACAUUUUUGACCAGAGAGGGCGACGUUCCAAAAUCUCACCUCUGGUAGCUUUAAACAAGGCUUGUUUAUGUACUUGAUUGCAUUUUCGGGCCCAAGUAAGCCGAAGCAUAUAGGAUGCCUGCCCAUGGCUCCUUCUUUCAACUACCAAAAAUCCCUUCCCAUGGUUUUAACGAAGCCUUAAUUUGAAUCGUUCUGUUGCCUCCAGCAGGAUGCCGCCAUCUUUUGAGACGUUUCCCAUUGAAAAACAGAAAGACAACAGAACCCGAGCCAAAGAAUACAUGACAAAGGACUAUCCUUGCACAAAUAAUAUGCCAUUAUGUACACUUUGGUUUGUGUUCUUUGGAUCAAGCGUGGCGUGAAAAUAUUCCUGGAUCCUUUCCCGUCUGUAGCAGCCCAGAGGGGAACUCGCAGGCCGAUCAUUCGCUGUCAGGCUGUUCUAAGCCUAUUAUCUGAGAGUGAAAAGGUGCAGAGAGAGGGGUUUUUUUUUAGACGAUGCAUUCCUCAGGUCCUGAACAGGCAGUGUGAAAACAAGCUCUUCUCUGGGUUCUUGGAUGAAAAGACAACUGGUCCUCUUUUAGACUUAUUUGGAGGAAGCACCAAAGCUUUUUUCAGGUCUGGAGAGGAGUGGGAGAAUCUCUUAGUGGCCUACAAUACUAUAUUUACUGUACUGAUAUAGAUCAAAUUAGAGGUGAGUGCAGAACCGUUUUUUCUUUAUUUAAUUCCGCCUACAGAAAGUCUAACCAAUCCUGCCAACUCCUACAGAAAGUCUGACCAAUCCCGCCCACUCCUACAGAAAGUCUGACAAGUCCUGCCCACUUCUACAGAAAGUUUGACCUAUUUUGUCCAAUCCUACAGAAGGUCUGACAAGUCUUGCCCACUUCUACAGAAAGUUUGACCUAUUUUGUCCAAUCCUGCCCACUCCUACAGCAAGUCUGACCAAUCCCGCCCACUCUUACAGAAAGUCUGACAAAUCCUGCCCACUCCUACGGAAAGUCUGACCAAUCCCGCCCACUCUUACAGAAA
ensembl:lncRNA